GAAAAAAAAAUACAUGGUAGACAAAAUAGCACAGUAAGGAUCCACUUGGUACUCAUUAAGUAAACUACGUAGAAAAUCAAACCACAAAGACGGGAUCUCACCUCGACUUCUCAGUCUCUCUGACACAUAACUAAAAAUAGUUUCACCUUCACAACUCGAACUCAUCCUCAAGCUUGAGCGCCUCGGCCGCCGCAUCCUCCUCCUCGUCAUCAAUAACAAAGUACGGAUUAUGAGUCUCGGGACGGAACUUGUAGCCGGUGAAAAUAUAGAAUGCAAGAGUGGCGAGCUCUCCCGCAACAGCACUAGUCCAGAGAUACCGGUACGAGGUGAUCGUCACCAGCGCAUAGACAACAACACGGGUGAAAUAGAUGUAGCAGAUGAGAACCACAUAGUACUGCCGGAAAAGCGUAAGUUUCAUUAGAUUGACGGCAGCCUUCCCGUCGGUGCGGGCAGCUUCCCGGAGGUUCUUGAUAGACCAGACAAUCGGGAAGAGAACCGCGCAGCAGCAGAUGACAUCGACUAAGAGGAGCACCUGUUUCCAGGUGACCCAGUCACGGGCGUAUGGGGCGGACUCGUCGAUCGCGACCUGAGCAAUGUUGGCAAUAACUUGGAGUGGGAUGACAGCCAUGAGUACCUUCUUCUCGCGGUCCUGGAGAUACGGCUUGAGAAACGACCACCCAGUGCCGAUGAGGACGAUGAGGGUGAAGAGUGUGACUCCCUUGAGGAAGGAGAAGAUGUAGAAGAGGUAAUCCCAUCCGUGGGCGGACCCGGUGCGGGCGAUGAACGACUUAUCCUCGGCCUCGCAGAGGAGAUUGACCGCCUUGAGGGCGAGGAGACACAGCAUGAAGUAAUGGAUACGGAAUGCCGAGAGGCGCUUGCGGAUGAGGACGAGUAUCCAUAUCGCGGUGAGAGCGGCGUAGGCGACGAAGAGGAGGGAGUAGAUGAGGGGGAGCGGGGCAGCGCCGGCGGAGAGGUAGGAGCGACGGCCGGUGCGGGGGUCGAUAAGGUUGUACAUGGCGGAGUGAACGGACAUGGAGACGCGGAGGCGCGGGAGGCAGUUAGCAAAGACGAGGGUGAAUUGGCCGGGUUCAGAGAUGUUAGCGGCGGCGGAGAAGGAGAGCGGGGCGGGGCCGAGUUUGUCGAAGGUGUAGACGAGGUUUACGAGGUCCGAUUGGAGGGCGCAAGUGAUGUCGAGGUCCUGGAGCUGCUGGAGAACGUGGAUCCAGGCAUCGCGGGUGGAGAGGAAGAAACCGAGCUGGGAGAGGUCGAGAUCGGGGUUAGUAUCGGAGAGGGAGAUGGAGCUUACAUUGAGUUCGAGGAUUCCGCGGUGGGUGAAGCCGAAUUCGUCGAAGGGGAUGAUGGUACGCGCGUCGGAGCGGACGUCGGAGCGGCGGAUCUCAGCGGCGGAGAGGGAGAUCGAGGCGGCGAUGACAGCGGCGAUGAGAAGGAGGGGGCGGAAGUCGCCGGAGAUCGAGAUCGGGG
rnacentral:misc_RNA from 1 species